UACGAAGGGGGCGAGCGUUGUUCGGAAUUACUGGGCGUAAAGGGCGCGUAGGCGGCGAACCAAGUCAGAUGUGAAAGUCCUGGGCUUAACCUGGGGACUGCAUUUGAUACUGGUUUGCUUGAAUUCGGGAGAGGAUAGCGGAAUUCCCAGUGUAGAGGUGAAAUUCGUAGAUAUUGGGAAGAACACCGGUGGCGAAGGCGGCUAUCUGGACCGACAUUGACGCUGAGGCGUGAAAGCGUGGGGAGCAAACAGG
rnacentral:rRNA from 1 species